rnacentral:rRNA from 1 species
AGAACGAACGCUGGCAGCAUGCCUAAUACAUGCAAGUCGAACGAGACCUUCGGGUCUAGUGGCGCACGGGUGCGUAACGCGUGGGAAUCUACCCUUGGGUUCGGAAUAACAGUUGGAAACGACUGCUAAUACCGGAUGAUGACGAAAGUCCAAAGAUUUAUCGCCCAGGGAUGAGCCCGCGUAGGAUUAGCUAGUUGGUGAGGUAAAGGCUCACCAAGGCUACGAUCCUUAGCUGGUCUGAGAGGAUGAUCAGCCACACUGGGACUGAGACACGGCCCAGACUCCUACGGGAGGCAGCAGUAGGGAAUAUUGGACAAUGGGGGCAACCCUGAUCCAGCAAUGCCGCGUGAGUGAUGAAGGCUUAGGUGUAAAGCUCUUUACCCGAGAUGAUAAUGACAGUAUCGGAGAAUAAGCUCCGGCUAACUCCGCGCCAGCAGCCGC